CAGUAGCCACGGUAAUACAGAGGGUGCGAGCGUUAAUCGGAUUUACUGGGCGUAAAGCGUGCGUAGGCGGCUUCUUAAGUCGGAUGUGAAAUCCCUGAGCUUAACUUAGGAAUUGCAUUCGAUACUGGGAAGCUAGAGUAUGGGAGAGGAUGGUAGAAUUCCAGGUGUAGCGGUGAAAUGCGUAGAGAUCUGGAGGAAUACCGAUGGCGAAGGCAGCCAUCUGGCCUAAUAAUGACGCUGAGGUACGAAAGCAUGGGGAGCAAACAGGAUUAGAUACCCGUGUAGUCCCUGUCUCUUAUAC
rnacentral:rRNA from 1 species